CUCAUCCUACGGGGGGCAGCAGUGGGGAAUACUGCACAAUGGGGGGAACCCUGAUGCAGCGACGCCGCGUGAGUGAAGAAGUAUUUCGGUACGUAAAGCUCUAUCAGCAGGGAAGAAAAAAGGACGGUACCUGAGUAAGAAGCCCCGGCUAACUACGUGCCAGCAGCCGCGGUAAUACGUAGGGGGCAAGCGUUAUCCGGAUUUACUGGGUGUAAAGGGAGCGUAGGCGGUUUAGCAAGUCAGAAGUGAAAGCCCGGGGCUCAACUCCGGGACUGCUUUUGAAACUGUUGAACUAGAUUGCAGGG
rnacentral:rRNA from 1 species